CUUUCUUUGCUGGCGACCGGCGCACGGGUGAGUAACACGUAUCCAACCUGCCCUUUACUCGGGGAUAGCCUUUCGAAAGAAAGAUUAAUGCCCGAUAGUAUAAUGAUUCCGCAUGGUUUCAUUAUUAAAGGAUUCCGGUAAAGGAUGGGGAUGCGUUCCAUUAGGUUGUUGGUGAGGUAACGGCUCACCAAGCCUUCGAUGGAUAGGGGUUCUGAGAGGAAGGUCCCCCACAUUGGAACUGAGACACGGUCCAA
rnacentral:rRNA from 1 species